GGCUAUGGUUCAGUGGAAGAACAACUGCUUGGCAUGCAAAAGACCCCAGGUUCAAUCCCCAACAUCACCA
rnacentral:tRNA from 1 species